CAGUCGCCGCGGGAAUACGAAGGGGGCUAGCGCUGUUCGGAUUAACUGGGCGUAAAGGGCGCGUAGGCGGGUUUUUAAGUCAGAGGUGAAAUCCCAAGGCUCAACCUUGGAACUGCCUUUGAUACUGGAAGUCUUGAGUCCGGGAGAGGUGAGUGGAACUGCGAGUGUAGAGGUGAAAUUCGUAGAUAUUCGCAAGAACACCAGUGGCGAAGGCAGCUCACUGGCCCGGUACUGACGCUGAGGCGCGAAAGCGUGGGGAGCAAACAGGAUUAGAUACCCCUGUAGUCCCUGUCUCUUAUAC
rnacentral:rRNA from 1 species